rnacentral:misc_RNA from 1 species
GUAACAAGGUUUCCGUAGGUGAACCUGCGGAAGGAUCAUUACCGAGUGUAGGGUUCCUAGCGAGCCCAACCUCCCACCCGUGUUUACUGUACCUUAGUUGCUUCGGCGGGCCCGCCAUUCGUGGCCGCCGGGGGCUCUCAGCCCCGGGCCCGCGCCCGCCGGAGACACCACGAACUCUGUCUGAUCUAGUGAAGUCUGAGUUGAUUGUAUCGCAAUCAGUUAAAACUUUCAACAAUGGAUCUCUUGGUUCCGGCAUCGAUGAAGAACGCAGCGAAAUGCGAUAACUAGUGUGAAUUGCAGAAUUCCGUGAAUCAUCGAGUCUUUGAACGCACAUUGCGCCCCCUGGUAUUCCGGGGGGCAUGCCUGUCCGAGCGUCAUUGCUGCCCAUCAAGCACGGCUUGUGUGUUGGGUCGUCGUCCCCUCUCCGGGGGGGACGGGCCCCAAAGGCAGCGGCGGCACCGCGUCCGAUCCUCGAGCGUAUGGGGCUUUGUCACCCGCUCUGUAGGCCCGGCCGGCGCUUGCCGAACGCAAAUCAAUCUUUUUCCAGGUUGACCUCGGAUCAGGUAGGGAUACCCGCUGAACCUAAGCAUAUCA